ACGGAAGGCAGCAGUGGGGAAUAUUGCACAAUGGGGGAAACCCUGAUGCAGCGACGCCGCGUGAGUGAAGAAGUUAUUCGUAAUGUAAAGCUCUAUCAGCAGGGAAGAUGAUGACGGUACCUGACUAAGAAGCACCGGCUAAAUACGUGCCAGCAGCCGCGGUAAUACGUAUGGUGCAAGCGUUAUCCGGAUUUACUGGGUGUAAAGGGAGCGCAGACGGCUUUGCAAGUCUGAAGUGAAAUCCACGGGCUCAACCCGUGAACUGCUUUGGAAACUGUAGAGCUAGAGUGCAGGAGAGGUAAGUGGAAUUCCUAGUGUAGCGGUGAAAUGCGUAGAUAUUAGGAGGAACACCAGUGGCGAAGGCGGCUUACUGGACUGUAACUGACGUUGAGGCUCGAAAGCGUGGGGAGCAAACAGGAUUAGAUACCCUGGUA
rnacentral:rRNA from 2 species